AACGAACGCUGGCGGCAGGCUUAACACGUGCAAGUCGAGCGCCCCGCAAGGGGAGCGGCAGACGGGUGAGUAACGCGUGGGAAUCUACCCAUCUCUACGGAAUAACGCAUGGAAACGUGUGCUAAUACCGUAUACGUCCUUCGGGAGAAAGAUUUAUCGGAGAUGGAUGAGCCCGCGUUGGAUUAGCUAGUUGGUGGGGUAAAGGCCUACCAAGGCGACGAUCCAUAGCUGGUCUGAGAGGAUGAUCAGCCACACUGGGACUGAGACACGGCCCAGACUCCUACGGGAGGCAGCAGUGGGGAAUAUUGGACAAUGGGCGCAAGCCUGAUCCAGCCAUGCCGCGUGAGCGAUGAAGGCCCUAGGGUUGUAAAGCUCUUCCACCGGUGAAGAUAAUGACGGUAACCGGAGAAGAGGCCCCGGCUAACUUCGUGCCAGCCGCCGCAGUAACAC
rnacentral:rRNA from 1 species